CUAUUAGCCUUGGAGACUAAAGUCUUCUAUUUAUCCACAAAAUGGGUACAGCAUGGGCAGUAGGACUGCAAGGUCUUCAUUGCCCUGCCAAUAUAGUAAUUCUGCCAUGGCAGGGUCAUUAUAAGCAUGAUGGGUUAGUGUUUAUGUCCAUAUAGUUCUUGGCCUCU
rnacentral:sRNA from 1 species